GACGAACGCUGGCGGCGUGCUUAACACAUGCAAGUCGAGCGGUAAGGCCCUUUCGGGGGUACGACGAGCGGCGAACGGGUGAGUAACACGUGGGUGACCUGCCUUCAGCUCUGGGAUAAGCCUGGGAAACUGGGUCUAAUACUGGAUAUUACUCUGCGGUGCAUGCCGUGGGGUGGAAAGCCUUGUGCGGCUGGGGAUGGGCCCGCGGCCUAUCAGCUUGUUGGUGGGGUGAUGGCCACCAAGGCGACGACGGGUAGCCGGCCUGAGAGGGCGACCGGCCACACUGGGACUGAGACACGGCCCAGACUCCUACGGGAGGCAGCAGGUGGGGAAUCUUGCGCAAUGGGCGAAAGCCUGACGCAGCGACGCCGCGUGAGGGAU
rnacentral:rRNA from 1 species